CCAGUGUCCCCAAACAUGGCCUCUCAAGAUACUGGUGUUCCCAUGGAGAGUAAAACCAAAAAGAAGAAAACUGGUACUCCAGCCAGCCUCUGCCACAAGGGCAGGGUCCGAAGGAAAGAAAAAAGAAAGAAAGAGGAAGACCCAGCCAGGCCCAGAGGGAAGGAAAAGGUUUGUGCAGACAAGAAACUGCCUGCUAGUAGCCCCAGGGGCAAGGCCCAGGGGCCUAAAGGAACCAAGAAAAAGUCAUCCUCUGUGACCACAGUGGCCAGCCCAGGGAAAGGGGGGAUGGGCUGCACUUCCAACACAGGGCCCCAAGACUCUAGGCAUGGUCCUGGUGCACCACUGACCUGGAAAGUUGGCAGUACAAGGAAGAUGCCUUUGGGCAAGUUGGUGGAACAGAAGGCCCGCUCCCUGAAUGAAGGAGCCCCCCAGGACACUCCUAAGCUCAAAAAACGGAACCUGAGACACACAGAGCUAUUUGGGGCUGAAAGCAAGGAGGAGGACUCAGGACUGGGAGCGGGAGCACCCCAGGUCUGGUCCCCGACCCUGCCCAACAUGAGCUCAGACUCAGAAUCAGACUCCAACUCCAGCCUGGGGCUGGAAGAGAUGAAAUUUCGCAAUUGUCUCAAGGCCUUGCCACCUGUGCCCCCUGCAACGCCCUCCCCAUUGUCCUCUUCAUUCUCCUCCUCGCCGUCCUCAGGAGCCAGCCAGUGUGCAGAGGAGGAUGUGGACUACUCGGCUCUGGAGAAGGAGGUGGACUUCCAUGUGGACCCUAUGGAGGAGUGCCUGCGGAUUUUCACCGAGUCCACCAGCGUGAAGAUGGACGACAAGGACCGGCUGGCCCAGCAGCCACCCAAGGAGAAGGAUGAGGAAAAGAUGCAUGCGGGCCUGACCACUUCAUUCCCAGGGCAGAAGAGGAAGGUCUCAUACCUUUGCAAGCCAGGCAAAGGGGCAGAGGCCCCAAAGAAGACCCCUGUGGCUCCUGCAGCACAGCCCGCAACUGCUCAGGAGGUGUGGUACCUGCGAGCACAGCAAGCACUAAGGGAGUUGGCCAGUUGGCUACAGGCCGCCCCAGGGCCAACUGCGGGGCUUUCCUCUGUGCACAUCUCAGUGCCAGGGGAGAAGAGAAGGAUUGUUCACAUACCCAACUCCCAACUGGCUGCUGCCCUCACAGGUUCCAAGAGGGUGCUCCCUGCCAUCAGCAGCCAGGUUUCCUACAGUCCCAAACCUGGCAGUCAGCCACUGAAGACACCCACGCUGUCAGGGAUGGCAUCUACGAUAACAACCACCUUCACCCCCAAACGCAUCGUCCACAGCUCACUCCAGAGUCUAAAGAAGCCUGUUAUCCCGAAAGAAUUUGGCUGCAAGGUCCCCACUGUGGUCCGCCAAGGUUAUCUCCACCUGUUCAUUGAGGAGUUUCUCAAGUUCUGUUCGUCCAAACAGGAGGCCAUUGAGAAGGCCCUGAAUGAGGAAAAGGUGGCAUAUGACCUCAGUUCCAGCAAGAACAUAUACCUGAAUGUGGCCGUGAACAUCCUUAAGAAGCUAAGGGGGCUGGCCUCCAACACCAUGCUCAACCUCAGCAAAGCCAGUGGCCGCAGGGUUGUGUCCCAUGAGGUUGUACUGGGGGGCAAAUUGGCAGCUAAAACCAGCUUCUCACUGAACAGCCCCAGCAGCCAGCAGGUAGAGGAGCUGAGAGCACUGAUACCCAGUGCCUCUGCAGGGUAUACCCUGUACUGCCACCUUAGGGAGUACUUACUCACUCAGGAGCAGCUGAAGGAGAAUGGCUACCCCUUCCCCCACCCAGAGCGUCCAGGGGCUGCAGUCAUCUUCACUGCCAAGGAGAAGAAGCCCAAGGACCCCUCCCGCAGAAUUUGCCAUCGCUGUGGCAUUGAGUUCCCUGUGUCCUCUGCGGGCCUCUGUGUGAGCAGUGCAGAGUGUUACUACCACUGCGGGAGGCUGCAGCUGAAUCGAGUGGCAGGGGGCUGGGAGUCCCAGUAUGUGUGCUGCUCAGCUUUGGUUGGCUCUGUAGGCUGUCAGGUCGCCAAGCAACAUGUGCUCGAUGGCCGGACAGAGAACCUGGAGGGUUUUGUGCGCACUUUCCAGAAGGAGUUGCCCAAAGAUGCCCAUGCGGGGGUCUUUGCUCUCGACUGUGAGAUGUCCUACACUACAUAUGGCCUGGAGGUGACCCGAGUCACAGUCGUGGACACAGACCUACAAGUCAAGUAUGAUACCUUUGUCAAGCCUGACAAUGAAGUUGUCGACUACAAUACCAGGUUCUCGGGGGUGACAGAGGCCGACCUUGUGGACACAAGCAUCACGCUGCGGGACGUACAGGCUGUCUUGCUGAGCAUGUUCAGUGCAGACACCAUCCUCAUUGGACACAGCCUGGAGAGCGACCUACUGGCUCUCAAAGUCAUCCACUGCACUGUGGUAGACACAGCUGUGCUGUUCCCACAUCACCGGGGCCUGCCCUAUAAGCGCUCCCUGCGGAACCUCAUGGCUGACUACCUCAGACAGAUCAUCCAAGACAAUGUGAAUGGGCACAGCUCCAGUGAGGAUGCCAGUGCCUGUAUGCAGCUUGUCAUCUGGAAGAUCCGAGAAGACGCCAAGACCAAGCCAAGACUCCCACCCAACACUACCAUACCAUCCCCCUUCUUCCAACCCUUGCUGCCCUUAGCCGGAAUCCCUUAGCCCAGAUGCACUUGGCCUCUUUUCAAUUUGUUCAAUAAAAAGUGAUAGCUGACCACAUGCCUCCAGAGCUUUUGCUUCAGGUCUGCAGUGAGGGCCCAAAGGUGGGACUAAGAACAACCCUCAGUUGAACUCCACACCCAUCCAACAUGUCACCUACUCCUCCCCCAGUCCUGUCCCAUGGAGCCUGCUGCAGCCCAGGGCAGAGUUGGCCUAGCCUCUGUGUCGCAUUUAGGCACCCCUACUCCUACCCCAGACCACCGCUCCAGACAGUGGGCUCUGCCUUCUGUUCCUUUGUAUAUAAGGCAGACAACAGGACAAGCCCUCAUGGUUUGACACAGGGGUUGUCUCUUUUUAUUUUACACUAUUAUUUUUAUUAAUUUUUAAUUUAAACCUGCUAGCCUGCACACAUCCUCCUCAUUUGAGGGGUCCAAUUCUGGGGCUGCUUGGAUCCAGGGGCCGGACCCCUCAUAGUCAGUCCCAUGGGCCUGCAUUUUGCCCUGCCUUGUGGGAUAACUUCCAGAACUCACCCCAGCCCGUCAGGUCUCUCCAACCUCAGAGCCAAGCCAGCCUUUUGGCCUGGACUUCCAGGGACUCUGGGUUGUCAUCCUGCAGGCUACUGCCUCCCUCUGUGAGUAGGAACAGAAGUAAAUAAAUGUUUGUAUGAACUUUAGAUUUCAUAGUGUGUGGUUCUUUGGGGACAGACAGGAUCUGAUGCCUGCCUAUGUGGCCCCUGUCCCAGUGGCCAGGGUCAAGAAAAAUGCAAAUGAUUCCCUUGCCAAAAGCAACUCUCACCCUGUGGGUGGGCCCAUGCUACCCAGAUGUGGGAAAUUUGUGAGGCAGCCCCAAGCUCUGGGUAGGCUGUGCCUGCCAGCCCUCCCCUAAAGGCACCUUGCUGUUGUCCCUGGUGCAGGCUGAUGGCAUGCCUACACUCCUUUUUGCCUGUUAUGAUCUGUUACUCAGACAAGUUCCAGGGUGGAGACUGGGAGCCCUUGCUGCCAGGUGUCCUGAGAAAGGGCCUGACCAUCAAGGCCACUCUGUCCCCAUGUCAGGAAACAAGUUUUGUAGCACUCAUUAGAUAGGUGACCUUGGCUUUAUUGGCAGCCUCUAGUCAUUUAUCUGUGGGCAGAGUAGGCUGGCUGGAGUUAGACCCUUGCAGGAUAGCUGGGUUGUGAUGGUCAGGGUCCUGUGAGAACCCAGUCCAAAUGUUCCCUCAAGCCACUUGGAGGGGCUGCAAGUCUAUGGCCAGAGCAGAUUCCAUGGGCUAUCCACAUAGUGGGGAUGCAGGGGCUAUCCACAUUGUGGGCAUGCAGGGGCUAUCCACAUAGUGGGAAUGAAGGGGCUAUCCACAUAGUGGGAAUGCAGGGGCUAUCCGCAUAGUGCGUAUGCAGGUGCUAUCCACAUAGUGGGAAUGCAGGGGCUAUCCACAUAGUGGGUAUGCAGGGGCUAUCCACAUAGUGGGAAUGCAGGGGCUAUCUACAUAGUGGGCAUGCAGGGGCUAUCCACAUAGUGGGUAUGCAGGGAGCUGCAAGGGCUAAGGGAGCUUCCUUGGCUAAGCCAGACAAGUACCCACAGGAGAUUUCCUUGAGUACUUUGUCCCCUCUUCUACCAUCUGUAAACAAGUUUUUAAAAACAUAGAUGAAUGGUACCAAU